GGCAACGCCGCUCCCGCCGGGCCGGGCCGCGCCGCGCCGCUCCCACCGGCCGCCCUUACCUGCGCCGGCCUCACAUCGCCGCGCUGGGGCCAGCGCUGAUCCCCCCAGCGCCACCGCGGCCCCCCGCCCUCGGCAGCCGGCCGCCGUCUCCCCGCCGCCCGCGGGGCCGCAGGUCACUCCUUAACUUUGCAUGCGUGAGCUCUCCUACUUUGUAUUUCCUUUCCGCCUCACGCCGGGCAGCCGGCGUUUGAAGAAAAAGCGCCGGGUGCCGGGAGAAUCGUUCUGGCAACACGUGGCGGGGCUUUGCGCCUGCAGCAGCACACCUCAGAGAGCCCGAGUUUACAUCUGAGAUCGUCAAAUAAAAGCAAGUUAAUUAAACGCCUGGAUUCAGAAGAAAUUGAGCACGAUGUGGGUAGAAAAACUGUAGGUUGUGUUAAAAAUCGGAAUCCACAGCUAUCAUUCUCAAACACCCUGUCCCUCCUAGGUACACAGGUAAAUAUCCUGAGGAGCCAUACCUACAUUAAAGCUCUCUCUGGUUGCUGUGAUUAGCAAUGUACUGAAAGAGGACAGCAUAUCUGUUCUGGUCUGCCAGCUCGACUGUAGCAAUAGGGGCAGACAGUCUGUAGGGAGACUUCCCCCAUGUAGGAGAGUAGAACAGAACCAGGCAGAGAAAAGGCAUACAUAAAGGAAAAGAAGAAAGGAAGGAUGUCUAGAUUCAAGACACCAUGUGUUUGGGAGUAGCAGGGCUAAGGGAAACCCUGGACACAUUGAUUAUCGUGAUCAUAAAAGAGGGGGCAAAUUCCAAAAUUUGGAACUUCUAGUUCAAUAGCAAAAUAGGGUAGGUUGCUUGGUUCUCCGCUGCCCCAGUUUUAUUAUUUGUGGCAUAGGUGCCUGGAUUUGCUUAAAGAAGUACAGCAUUUGUGUGAGGAUGCACUUCACUGCAGUGUAGAUCUUUACUUACAAAUAAUGCAACGUGAGCAAAUAAUUAAGCUAGACAGAUGACUGAGGAAGGAAUUACCUAUAUUAUAUUUUCUGUCUCCUCAAAUCGAUAUGCAGUGCCAUCUCUUUGAUGAGUGCUUUUUUUUCCUCAUAAUUUUAUGAGUGUUUGCAGGUGUCUGUCCUCCAGGACGUGCUCUGAGGAGUUCAGCAAAAGAGAAGAGGGAGCUUGACCCAUCCACUGGAGGAGUGCUGUAGCCCACACCCAGGCAGUCCUCAACCCUCCUUUCCCUGCAUGACCCAUGUGGGGUCUCCCAGGCAGGGAAACUCUCACCAGAAGCAGCACACUGAAAGUUCUAACCAGCCACUGUCAAAAUCAUACUGAUGCUCGCUACUGCCUCCUGAUUCAGUUAAUUCUUCCAUUUGUGUGGAUGAAUUGUUUCAUCAUAGUGGAUCAGCUUCUGCAGUUGAGAUUCUUGUUCCACAUCACUGUGUUACAGUCAUGGAGAGGCUUCAAAUUCCCACAAGCCAAGAGACUGAGGAUAUCAGCUCUGGAUCACAUCUCUCUUGGGUUGCUGCUCAGACCUCUGAGAUGUUACAUAAAUAGGCGAUGCCUCUUCCUGCUGCAUUUUUAAAGUUCCGAGCAGUUGGCAGUGGGCUGGAGCUGGGCAUCGUGACUGGAAAAUGGCACUUCUGUCAUCCAGAAAAGGUCAACUUAUUGUCUAAGACAGGCUUAACCUUUACCCCUCUCCUUGUCACCUCCAGCAACUGCAGAGGCAAGUUUUUAUUUGCUUUUCUGAAUCAUAUCCUGAGGUACCUUGCUUUUCCCUGCCCACUGCACAAAGAGUUUGAGUGCCAAACUUUUCUUCAUACAUUACACAGAGUGAAUAAGUGCUUGAAGUCAUAAUGUGCAGCUCUUGGUAUCACACUAUCUGUAUCCACCUGUGGGCCAAGCUCUCCUUCCCUAACUUGAUGAGAACUGAACUCCUAACUUCUGUGUGGACCCAUGCAAAAUUACUGCAAUGCCAAUAAGGUGGUACUUCUGCCAGUGGCAUGGAGGGAAGAUCAAUGAAGAACAGGCGUGCUAUAGAAUUGCUGAUGCUGGCUGGCAUUUCAGGAGAUCACCUAGCCUACUCCCUGGCUUCGAGCAGGCUCAGCGGGAGCAGGCUGCCCAGGACUGUGUCCAGUUGGGUUUUUAAUAUCUUUGCAGAUGGAGACUCCACAGUCUCUCUGGGCUGCCUGUGCCAGUUUAACCUCCCUUACAGUAGCGUAGAUGUUUAGAACAUCUGCACAUCUGGAGGGCUGCACAGUGUGCAGAACAGGUCCUAUUCUAUGCUGGGAGUACUUCCCCAUCUCCUUUAGGAAGAUGAGCUACAGUGAGUCAAUAUUUUUCUCACCAGUAGGUCCCACAGCGCAGGAGUCCUCUCCCAGCAGGAUGAAAGUUGAGAGCCAGCAUUAGUGGCAAGCAGGACAGAGAGCAGCACAGAGGUAUCCCAGGUGGAUUGGGCUGCAUGAUCUAUCGCAGCCCACCAAAUGCUGGGCUCCACCAACUGAGUGCCUGGUAUGUCCCUAUCCCCCUCCAUGGAAAGGCUCAUCCUCCAAAGAGGCCCAGCAGUGCAAAGAACAGGGUCCUUAUGUACCCUGAUGUGCUCCUGCUUCCUGCAGUGCCCUGUGCUGUCUGAGCACACUGGAUCUCGGCAGGCUGAGGCAAUUCAGACACCAGCCUCCCACUCACCCUUUCUUUUCCUGUGUAGGCAUCCUCCUCAUGAACAUCCCAUCUAGCUGGAGUCCUCUGUUGUCCUCACCACUCCAUAGCAGACAUUAUUCUGAGUUUAACUUCUACAAUAUACAAAGCACAGAGUUGUAAAUGCAAAAAGCCAGGUAGACAGUAGGACAGAACCUGGCAGUUUUAGUAACUCUUAGUUAAGCUGCUAUCAUGUCAGAAGUGCCAUGGGGGGUCUAAGGGUCUUCAUAAAUUUAACUAAAGUCAUCUGGUGAGCCCUCACUCCUCGGAAAACCAAAUAACUUCUCUGGGAGUGUUUAGCAGCUAUACCAUCCUCCAAGCAGAUGCAAACUUGUGUAUAUGCAAGAAAACUCUCCUAAGAAUGGGAAGAAACAGAACUCUGAGACUGGAAACUGAACCAAAGUAAGUUUAUACAAGCAGCAAGUAAAACACCCAUUCCCUGUGAGUCAGUCCUGGCUGUUUCCUUCAUUUCCUCCAAGGCUUGCUGUGAACAUCCAGUGGUAACAGUCCUGAAAUUCAGUAAUUUCUUUUCCUACCCCUUAUUUAUAGCUUGGUGUCAGCAGUUAGCAGAGUCCCAGCAUCAUUGUGGAUGAAAAGCUGGACAGCAGUGGACACUGUGCCCUUGCAGCCCAGAAAGCCAACCAUAUCCUGGGCUGUAUCGAAAGAAGUGUGACCGGCAGGUCGAGGGAGGUGAUUCUGUCCCUCUACUCUGCUGUAGUGAACUCCUACUGUUGUCUGGCAGAGUUGCUACUUACCCCAGGAAUUCAAUAGAUUAUGGACUUCACAUAGACAAGUACUGGUUUUUGGGAUCUUUCCUGAAAUUCGCUCCAGCAUACGUCCAGGAAUAGAUGCCCAUGCCAGAAAGGAUUAGGAAAAUACAGAACUGGAAAUGUCCUUCAGGUAAUAAGGCUAGAAAUGCUUUCCUUUGUGAAACCAGUUAUAAAACCACAUUGCGGACAUGAUCUGAAUUAAUAAUAAAAGUCCUAAGACAAUAACCCGUAUUGUCAAAGAGCAUGUCCAUCCUGAGAAGAGCAGAGUUACAGACUGACAUGAUCUUCCCUCAGUUCAUUGUCACAUGCUUUCUCUCCUGAGAAUCUCAACUAGUCUACAGCCAAGAAGUGACUGAGACACAAUACUGUGUUUGCUUUUACAGAAUAAAACCAUAAGCAAAUUAUCUGAUAUUAGGUAUCCUUAUAAUCCUUACUCAACCUCAUCCUUUUUUUUUUCUCUUAUACAAGAAGCAGUAAGGACUCUUUGCCCAAAUGGAGAGCUACAUAUGUGCCAUGGAGUGAUAGUUUUAUGUCAUUAUGAACCAUGUACCAGUCAGUAUGAAGGUCUGCAUUGGCAGGAUGGAUUAAGAAUGAAUGGCCCAUGUAGUGUGUUGUACAAAUUUCUUCCAAAAUAAUAGCAGUGGUCUUGCCUGAUGUGCAAAUUGGGCCAUUGUCCUAAAAGGGUUGCUUGCUAAACCCCACUUCCUGAGAGGUGCUGCCAAGAAAAUUUAAACAGAUGGACAAGACUUCAGACAGACAGUCAGAUACAAAGGCUGGUGUUAAAGGCGCAAGGGUAAGGGCUUGUCUGGAGAGUCCCUGGCCUGCCAGCCACAUAAAGUAGCAAAAGCAUAUUUUUGUUUGCAUACAUCCAUUUAGCCUGACAUUGCCCAACAAUUCACUUGAUUAUAAGCUACUGCAUGUUUUAAAAGGCAAGAAAGUGGUUCUUACUUUGUGGAUGUGUGCCUGGCAGACACUGAUGGGCUUUCCCGGUUACAAUCACUGCUGCAGCUCUUUCACUGCAGUCUGGACUGAUGUCAAGGAAAAUGACUGCUCAUGCCAGGGCUUCAGAAAUGUGCGGCUUCAUACAUGCAAAUGCUGUUUUCCUUGACCUUUCCUGAUUUUGGUUGAAAGGCCAGUCUCCAAUAGCAAAAGCAAAAGUGUUAAUUCCUCAUAAGCUAGAAUAAGCAACAUUGGUCUUACUAUCUAGAAAUACCACAAACAAAUUUUGAAAAAUCUUAAUGAAAGCUGGUUAUGCAAACAUUUCCAAACAGCUGUUCUUUUACACCAAAUGACAUAGGCAAUUUCCAUCUCAGUUACAAUUUUAAGGAAAUCUUUGGGUUUAUGCCUUCUCCCCACUGCGAUGCUGCAUACAAAGGAUACUCCAGUUAUUCCUUGUUGCUGGCAAGUGCCUCUCACAGACUGAAAUCAUCCAUUGCAGCUUCCAGGGAGGCUUAAGAAGGCAGCUCUUGGUUUCCUGCAGUGGUCUCAGUUUCUGUGUUUGUGACUCUGAACGCUGCAAGAAGAAUGCAAAAAGCUAUUUUUUUCCCCAGUUCCUUUGAUGACCUCAGAUACAUGUGGCCUUCAGAGAUCUGUGAGAACAGCUGAGAACAUUGUGGGCUGCAGCACAGGGGAGCAGCAGCUUCCUGAGGAUAUUGCAAAGUCUGGUCCGGGCAGUGAGGCUGCUGCAAUGCCUCAGCAGCUGUCUGACUGGGAUCCAGUUCUUAAGAGCCUUGUCUUGAGUAGUGCUUCCUGUAAAUUGGAGACUAAUUUGCUAACAGCUUUGCUCUUAUGCGCUCUUUUACUUCUGGGGCUCCAUCCAGAGCUCAGGCUACGUGGCUGUAAUUCACAGCCUCGAUACUCUAUAGGUAGCAUUUCCUCUCUAUACUCCUGCAAUGCUCUUGAUCCUAUAGACCAGGUCUGUCAAACUCAUUUUCACCAGGGGCCACAUAAGCCUUGCAGUUGCCUUCAAAAGGCUGAAUUUAAUUUUAGGACUGUAUAAAUGUAACUACUCCUACAUUUAGGUGAAAAUGAGUUCAACACCCCUGCUAUAGACUUUUAAGGACUGAAUUCUCUCUGCAGACUGCUGAAUGGAUGGCUUGUGAACUUGGCCUCUUGGGAUGGAGGAACUCAGUGGAGAUCAGCAUUAACAAAGAGGCAAAUGGGAAUUUGCCAUUGUCAUAUCCAGCCAUCCUUCCUGCAUGGUGGCAGCAGAGGGGCGUGGAGGGCAUUUGUGCAGAAGAUAACUGCUUGAAUUAGAUGCAGCUAAAUGCUUGUGCAAGCCUAAACUGGAGUCCUAAUGCUGUGUAUUGGUGCAGUAAACUGUUUCCCAGCCCACUCCAUAAAUACAUUUCUCUCUUUCACAUACAAAUGCAGACAGCUGCUGGAUUGGAGUCUCUAACAGCCUUGCCCUUUACCUCGACCUCACACACUGAUGUUUCCUCUUCUUCCUUAGGAGUGAGAAAAUGCUAAAGCAGAGAAGAUCAGUGACAAUGGCUACUUUCUCCUUUUCUUGUCCCCCAUCAUCCUUUGAGAAGGCCAGGAGAAGGCUACUGGGACUCUUCCACUUCAUUUGCAAAGCCAAGAAAUUAAGCAGAAUCUUCCUCUAUACUUUCCUCAUAUAUAUGGGUGUUCAUGGCAAUAACUUAACUUAGGGGUGUGUGUAUGACACUUAAAGCCCUCUGUAGAAAGGAUGCUAACAUGAAGUAAAUCAAUUCACUACUGAAACAACUAGGAAACUUCCUUCUUUCUGCUCUCUUCAGAUUCAGGUAGGCCAGUUAUCCUGUUGUCAUUUAUUUAGGCUUUCUGCUCAACUGUGAGCUCUAGAAACAAAUUACUGUAAGGGAAAGGUGGAAUACAGACAAAGUCACACCACUGCAGGCAAUCUUAUUCUAGUCCAGAGCUGCUCAAACCAUUAAUUAUAGUGGGGACCCCAGCAAAAUCCAGCAUGGAGACUAAAAAUGAAAGGAGAAACAUGCUGCCUUUGAAGGGGGUUGCCAAGUAGCCCUCUGGUUCAGCAUGAAAGGGAGGGACUUGCUGUGUAGGAGCUUGAUACAGAAAACAUUGCAUAUGCAUGUGUGCAGGUUUUUACCCACACAGGCAGCUGCAGCACCUCAGCGUGUGCAGCAAAGAUGGGAGGCUGACAUUCAGAAGCCUUUUCCUGUGCUCGAAAGAGCAGUGCUGCCUCUGCCCCAACCCCCUCCUGCCCAUCCCUGCUUACUCAGAAACUGCCAUGCUAGGAUGCUACUUCUUAUCUGAGAUCCUCACAGGAUAAUGUCCAUGUAAGUGUUGUUGCUUGUGGUACAGGCCAGUAGUAAUGAUUCAGACCAGCCCUUCAUUUUCUUCCUCUUGUUGGUUAGACACAAAAUCCAGCCCACAAACAAAUUAAUCUGUCCCAUGCACCAAUAAAGAUGAUUCCCUGUUAAUUAACAAAUUGCACACAGAAUUCCCUGGCUUGUAUUAAGGGACUCUUGAAUGGCUGUGAAAUCGAGCACUUCAAAGUUCAGAGAUGGCCUGGAUGUAGGGUUUUGGAGUUUAGGUUUUGCUUUUUUGUGGGUAUAAUUAUGUGUAAUAGUGUAGCUUUUAAUGACGUAAACAUAACGUUUUUUCAUCAGCCUAGUUUUCGCAGAGGAAGCAAAGCAAGCCCAAAUGUGCCUUUCUCCACGUUAGGUGUCCUUGUAUAAGAGGCAUCCUCGAGGUGGAGAUCUCCAGGCCUUUAUAUGUAAUGACAUAGUGCCCCCUGUUGGAAAGCUGUUCCCGACGCUGUCUCCUGCCUGCAUCCAGGUGAGGUAACAUUCACACAAAUACCAUACUGUUGCAUGUGUUCCUGCACAUCGGUGAAGUCUGUAUAUUGUCACACCAGUAGGUUUAAAAAUCAACUUACCUUUUCCUCCCUCAGCUAUUUUUUGUUAGGCUUCAGAAAGCAGUUGCACUGGAUUUCUUAGAAGGCUUUCUGUGACAAUGUUCAAGGAAGAUCUACCAUUUUAUGAUACCUUCAGCUUUUUAAAAAUAACAUAUCUUGUGAUUUUAGCCAUGAAGGAAACAAUAACCUCUUACUCAUCUCAAGGCACACAAGUCCAGCUGGCUUAUGUUAGCAGGGAAAUGUGUGGGGCUGCAGGCUGGCUGAUUACUCUGUGUCUGUAGAUGGUGGAGAUCAGUUUUAGCUCAAAUAAACAGUCCCUAGUAUUUGCGCCCACAGAGGGGGGCUGUAGGAUACAGGAAGUAAAUCCUAUUUCCUGGGAUAUCCUCUCAUUUAAUGCACAUUAUUCCUCCCAUUCCUGACAUAAACAAGAGAAACCCAUCUUCCCAAGGCUUAGCCCGGCCCUUCCUCCUCCCCUAUGCUGCAGAGGAGGGCCAAGGUUGGCCCUUAAUCUCUCACCCUGUCCUGACACCCUCAACAUCCAAUCCUGACCAUAUAUCAAGGAACCCUCACCCUACUCCAAAAAUUGCAGUAAGAUUAAUGCUAUGGUUCUCCAAAACACCUGCACUGUGUUGGCCCAGGAUAACGUAACUUGGCAGAGUCUACCUGGAGAGCACAGUCCUGGUCACAGACACCUUCUGUGGGACAGAACCCUUACUCCAACCCCAUCCUCAUCUGAUUUCUGACUCUUAAUAUCAGUGACCUUGUUAGGCCCUGAAAACACAUGUUAUGUUCUGGCCUGGGGUACAACGAGACCAAAAUUCAGCUAGGCCACUCGUGGUGUCUUUCCUGAAGGACUUAAACUAAACAUGAAUCCUAUAAUGGCCCACAAAUUUAAUAAACACGAAAGUGAGCACAUGUUCCUGAAAUCGCCUCUGCAACGCUGGCCUGUUUUAUAUCAGGACAGGACUGCCCAUGCCCCUCACCCACAUAUCUUAGUCAUGGAAAAUGGAACCUUUCCCAAAUAAUGGGUUGUAAAGACAGAUGUGAGCUUGCAGAGAAAUAUGACCAUCCACACAGUGGUGGGUAAGUAUUGUUUGUCUGGAGCUAUGAUGCUAUUGUUGGAAGGGCAAACUGAAGCGAGAUUGUUUCACAUGAGCAAAGGCACAGUUUUCAUGAAGUAAGCUUUUGUCCUUGACUCGCAAAAAGGGCCUUUUUUGUGAUUCACACUGUGUGAUAUAUUUAGUUUUCUUUGCAUUUAAUUAAGAAUGGGACAAGCAUAAUACUGCAAGUGAAACAUAAAAGCAGAAUGACCCUAUUAAAAAGUGGUUUAUCUACCUUAGAAGAAAGACUUGGUACAUUACAUUGAAAGCUUAGAUUGUAAAUUGGCUGAGACUGGAACCACAUCCUUGUCCUGUGCUCACAGUGCAACUGUCACAGUGACAGUCUCUUCUGUCUCUUCUGAAAUUAUCAUAUUCCCUGGGAUGGGUGAGUUGCAGUCCCCAAAGAAUCUGAGAGAAUAAACAAACAAAGACCAAAAAGUUGUUUAAAGGUUAACUUGUCACAACUGCAAGUCAGUGGAUAUGAGAUCUAGGUGUCAAGGGACAGAAGGUGAGGGAAACAAACUCUAUAAGGUCUUGCAUAGGAUCUGAAGUACUUACAGGCUACAGCUAACAAUGACUAAUGAAGUGCAAAUAAUGAUUCAUACUAAGUCUAGAAUAUGCUGUAUUAUGCUUUCUCAGAGUAGAACAAGGAUAAAAUUACCUUCCUUCUGUUUUGGGCAGGUGUUCCAGAUGCUCAAGUUAACUACCAACCCAACAUCCAGAUAGGUCUCUUAGCACCCCAAGGAUCCCAUUUGCUGGCCGGCUGAUUUCAUUCACCCUGCUCCUUUUUUCAUCUCUUCUCUUUUUCUCUCAGUACUUCAAGGUUCCCCCUUCCCUGGACCUCCUUCUCCCUCAUUAGUGAUCUUCUCAACAUGAUCUCAUUAUGGCAGAGUACUCACAUCCAACCACUGUUAACCCACUGCCCUGAAGCAUUGUCAGAUUGUUCUCUGUAGUGUUUGGAGUUGUGCCUCACAUUCCCUGCAAGACUCCUGACAGUGGCUUGGAUAUCUUUGCCUUUAUCCCAUCUCUGGUGCAGGAGUGAACGCCUGCCCUGCAGGACUCACAGUGAUCAUGCUCCAUUUGGGUGUUGAUUUCUUGCUGAGGUAUGUUCAUUGCUGCCGAGUAGGGGAUGAAUCCUGGCUCCAGCUCUUCCCACAAGGAGCACAGAGAUAAGGCUUCUCUUCAGUGUGAACCAGUUGAUGUCCAGUCAGGUCAGAAUUCCCAUCAAAACCCUCUCCACAGUCACAGCAUCUAAGUGGCUUCUUUCACAUCUGGGAAGGAAUAUAAAAGUCAAAGUGUGUUCAUUUUCUUAUUAAUUCCUUCUUUUCAACUGGGCCAACAUCAUCAUCAGCUGGAACAGAAAGGGAAAAAAGUAAUCAGAUAUGGUUACUCCCCCAAACACCACAUGAAGAACAGCAUUUAUGAGAGUGAAAGCCAGGAACCAGUUCUUCUGGGGUCAAGAGCUUAUGGCCUGGAAUUCAUCUGCCACCAGUUUUCCUAUUACAUUCACCAUUAUAUCUCUGGUUUAUAUAGUACCUCUUACCAGCAGGUGCAUGCCACAGUUAUACAAGUAGAAAAACAACAACAACAACAAAACAAAACCAAACAAACAAAUCGAGAUGGGGAAGAUGGUGGUGGGUGAAGAGCCUUGCACAAAGUAGCCCAUCAGGCCAGUAGAGAUAAGAACUGGACACGCUUCCGGAGUCCUUGACCAGACUGCUUGCCUCUUUCUAGCCUGGUAUGUUCAUCAUAAAACAAUGAUAAAUUUUACUCUCCACUCUAUUUUGCAAAGGUGUGAUGUCCUCAGUAUCUGUAUGUGACUUUGAGCACUCAAAGUUCUCUUUCAGUGCUAAUGAAAUGAGCUACCUCAAAUGCCUCUAGGUAGUUUAUCCAGUUUGUCAAUAUGCUGUCCCUGAAGUUCAGUAGUAUCAGAGUUGACCCUGAGAAAGAAGGCCCAUCUUGUCCUGGUGGGAACUAUGAGUAGGAAUAUGUCUAGGCUGUUUCAGCAUCAGCUUCAGUCUGGAAGAACAUGGUGAAGAGCCCAAGCUAGUGUGCCCUGAUGGAGCCAGAAGUUUUGGGGAAUGACUGCAGAGGAACCUAAAUGGCAUUCCAUAGUCAGGUCAGAUCAAGAAAGCUGUGGCUCAGCAUCGUCACUUCUGACUCUAAGCUGGUCCUGGGGGUGAAGCCUUGCAGGGCAACCUGCACCACGCUCUCCAGAUUUCCCGCCUCCCAGAGGACUUUUUCUCCUCUGUACCCAACAGAUGUGGGCUACCUGUGUUUUCAUGUAGCAUUGUACCUGAGCAAACAAGCUACAUGGGUAUCAGAGCACUGGUGAGACAAGUCACCAGACCACCCAGAUCACUAUGAGCCAGGGCCAGUAAGUUUUACUGAGCCCAUUUAGUCAUUCCAGUGUCACUGCAGUAUAUUUCCCAGCAAAGGAAAUGGUUUGGCAGUGUCAGGGUAGUUUACAUUUCUCUGCAUGGGAUGGACUGAGGAAUAUCUCCUAGUAUUGUCCAGGGACUACCGGCAACCUGCCCAGUCAGCACAUAGCCCUAACCAGCUGUGCCAUUAGCAUUAGCUAGUUGGCUGGCAGAGCUUAUUUGAAUUAUUAGUAUUAGAACCAUUUAGUGGUGAAAGGCUGAACUGAACUCAGCAUCUGAUCAGAUGAUUAACAUUAGACAUCUAUGCAGUAUCUCAAUAAAACCUCCCUAACUCUGUGUCCUUUAGGUAAUGGAGUUAAGAUAUCUUAAUGGACUUAAUAUCCCCUGAUGGACUGGGAAGGUCUGCGUGCUUCAGUAUACUCCAUAUGCUGGGAGUAUUCUGCUCUAUGGUGGGUCCCAAAACAAAUAUAUAAUCUGUUUUUUUUUGGAGUGCCUGAGGUAUCUUAUGGCCCCAUAACCUCAGAUGGUGGCAAUGACUGUAUAAUCUUGCUGUGAGACUGGCUUUGCCCACAAGUAUUUCAACAGGAAUAAAAGUGUCCCGGUGAACAUGGAAGUGGCCAGCACUUCUCUACAGGACACAACCCUGCAGGUUGCUACACAGGAGCAGGAGAUAAGAGAGGAGAAAGGUUGGUAUCAGGAAGGAGGUGCGAUGACAUUAUUUGCAUGACAGAAAUAGUGCUAAAAGAUCUUACUAGCAUUUACUGGCUGAAGAACUGCAAGGCAAUUGUUUUGAGAAGAAAGAUCAAAAUUUGCUAUCCAAUUGAUAUUUUGAAUUUAAAUGCUUGCAUUUGCAGUAGUAGAAUUAGCAUUUGUAAAACUACUGUAGCAGUUUCCUUAGUCCAAAUGCUAAACUUUUUAUUUGUCACUUAGACAUUCAGUGACCCAUAUGUAUGGAUUUUUUUUUCCAAUUUUGGAAAAGGUUAGAUGAACUUCUACUUUCCAAAGGCUGAGAAAUAGCAUGUCAGUCUAUCCUCUACUGAGAAAACAGGGUGGUGUUUGCAUAACGUCUUACAGCUUCUGCUGAAGUGAGUUUCACAACCUCCAUAGGUAAUCUAUUCCAGCACCGCCUUCCUCAGAGAAAGUUUUUGCAAUACCUAGCCUAGCCUUUUUGUUUUUUUCCUUUCUUCUUUUCUUUCCUGAAAAUUAAGCCAAUGAGAUCUUAUCUUUGUCCUUCCAGCAAUGUAAUUGUUACCUUUCUUAAUAACAACCUCUUGUGCACUGCAAUGCAUUAUCACGUUCUGCCCUAUUUUCAGCCUUCUCCUCCAGACUCAACAAACCCAGUGUCCCUGCUUCUCUCCAGGGACUAUUUUCCAAACCUCUUAUCACUUCUGAUGUGCACCCAUACCCGUGUUCCUUGCAUGGACCAGCCAGGCUCCUUGCUGUCCCUCUGUGGAGUUUUGGUGGUGGCUUCUCACUUCCCUCCAGCCACAUACUGCCACCCUGCGACCCCCAGCCCAGGCACCCUCAGCCCGGGCACCCCCAGCCCUGGUGGCUCACUCGCAGCGGGACUUGGGUGGGACACUUGCCGGAGCCAAGUGAGGUGCCGUGUGGGCGCAGCGGCCCUGCUGGGACAGGUGCUGAGAGCGGGGUGACAGGCCCCCGGGCCCUGCUGGGUGCAGGAAACAGCAUGCAUGGUUCACUCCUCUUAUCUCCCAGCCCUGACAGGAAACCGGUGUCCUUGCUUUCUGGGGUUUGUCCUGAAUUCCCAGGUUCAGGCAAAUCGCCAGCUUUCUCCUCAGAUGCUCUCAGAUCUUUGAGUCACAGAAUGGUUUGAGUUGGAAGGGACCUUCAAAGAUUAUCUAGUCCAACCUCCCUGCCAUGGACAAGGACAUCUUUCACUAGAUCAGGUUGCUCAGAGCCCCGUCCAGCCUGGCCUUAAAUGUCUCCAGGGAUGGGGCACCUACCACCUCUCUAGGCAACAUGUGCCAGUGCCUCACCACCCUCAUCGUAAAAAAUGUCUUCCUUAUGUCAAAUCUAAAUCUACCCUCCUUCAGUUUAAAGCCAUUGUCCCUUGCCCUUUCACUACAGGCCUCCAUAAAAAGACUCUCUGUCUUAUCAGCCCCUUUAAGUAUUGCAAGGCCACAACAAGGUCUCCCUGGAGCUUCUCUUCUCCAGGCUGAACCACCCCAACUUCCUCAGACAUUCUUCAUAGAAGAAGUUAAAUGAUUUCUGAUUAAUUUCUGGUAAUCUGCUUUGGAAAUUCUCUUAGGAGGCAGAGGUGCCCACUCUCUAAGGGAUGCAAGCAUUUCAGAAACUUCUAGAGAAAAAGGCCUACCAAAAACUGGGGGUAAAAGUCCUCUCCAUUUUAGGAGUGCUGGCUUCCAGGCUCAGUUCAGUUUAUCAAGCCAAAUAUUUGACUCUUGUCAGCCCUUGCAUCAGCUGCUUCAGUGAAUGGUGAUGGAAAUCCUGAUUGUGUGCAGUGUUACAGAACCAAAUCUUUGCACGCUAAAUCAAGAUCCUGAAAAGUGUAUAGUCCUGAAAAGUCAUUAUUACCAAUAUUGCCAUUAAUACUUUAUUACAAAAAUUGUACAUUCUGCUGUUGGUUGUUUCAGCCUGAAGAAAAGAAGCUUAUUAGUACUUUAUCUUCCCAGCAGCCCUCUUCCCCCAAAUCAUCUUUAUGUCCCUCCCACAUUCCCGACAGAUUCAGUGUCCCUAAACUAAACAUUUUGAUCUGCUGCCUGGACAAGAUAUUACAUAAACUGGCAAACCAAAUGGAUAAGGGCCAGUCUUUCCCUGCUGAUCCUUCCAUGGGAAUGCCAGUAAGAGAUCUUUGUUGUACCCAACUGCUGCUCUCUGGCUAUAGGAGCAUGCUCAUCUCUGAUUCCUCUACAUGGUUGUUAAAUUUGAAGUGAACUGGUUAGUUUCUCAGUGACUAAAGGGGGACUGACAAUGUGAUAUUUAAAAAGUCUUAUUUCCUCAAGAAACUACAGGAAAAAAAACACAUGAAUCUAUCAAAAUAUCUAUCAUUAAAUAGAUUCCCAAAUCUGAAAAUAUGUAUUUUAAUAAAGAUCAAAUAGAAUUUUUGAACUGCCUUCUGAUUUUGAAACUUCUGUCUCAUUCUAAAUAUAUUGAAGUGGAAAGAAAAUGUAGGAUGAAUGUCAUCUUAGUCAAGACAAAAGCAGAGAAGAAACAGAACAGACUGACCCUGUACUCACAAGGAAGAGGCGGAGGAAAUGAGCCUUGACUCCCCAUCCCUUCCUUUGUGCUGCCUGUUGGAGCACACCACUGCAGAAGGAGGGAACAGGAGAGAGCAUCCCAGCAACAAAAGGCUCAGGGAAGAAGACAACGAAAACCAAAAUCCACCCAUGUUUCAUGUUUCACCCAACCUGCAAGUGUGUCCUAGGUGGAGGAAGGGAGCAUGAAGAGGGGUUGAAGCAGUCAGGGUUACCUUGAGCCUCAGGGUAUGAAGACAAAAAUACCACUGUUUCGCAGAGCAGAGAG